GAUGAACGCUGGCGGCGUGCCUAAUACAUGCAAGUCGAGCGAACAGACGAGGAGCUUGCUCCUCUGACGUUAGCGGCGGACGGGUGAGUAACACGUGGAUAACCUACCUAUAAGACUGGGAUAACUUCGGGAAACCGGAGCUAAUACCGGAUAAUAUAUUGAACCGCAUGGUUCAAUAGUGAAAGACGGUUUUGCUGUCACUUAUAGAUGGAUCCGCGCCGCAUUAGCUAGUUGGUAAGGUAACGGCUUACCAAGGCAACGAUGCGUAGCCGACCUGAGAGGGUGAUCGGCCACCCUGGAACUGAGACACGGUCCAGACUCCUGCGGGAGGCAGCAGUAGGGAAUCUUCCGCAAUGGGCGAAAGCCUGACGGAGCAACGCCGCGUGAGUGAUGAAGGUCUUCGGAUCGUAAAACUCUGUUAUUAGGGAAGAACAAAUGUGUAAGUAACUAUGCACGUCUUGACGGUACCUAAUCAGAAAGCCACGGCUAACUACGUG
rnacentral:rRNA from 1 species